AUUUAACCCAAUCCUUCGACGAGUAUCUCGUGGACGGAACAGUUUCCUUGGAGACUUGCGACAGGUUCAGUUUUCGUUGCUUCAGUUAUAGCUUCAGCUGCUCUCGCCAAUGCUCCAGCGUGCGCCAGGCCUUUGGCUCGGUUGCGGACCAUGCGAGGUGUAACAAUCAAGGCGCUGAAACAAGAGAACAACGAACAGAUGUACACUUUUUUCUGUAGCUAAACUGGAGAUCCCGCAUCAUACCUGAGGCUGAGGAUAUGACACUCAAGGCUUCAACAUCUUCACCAGCACUCCAACAGGAUCCAUGGUGCCUGCAAAUGCAUCUUCAGCCCUAGCAAUACUCAGCAUGGUCGAACUUCUGCUUCCAUUGCUUGCACGGCCAGCUCGAAAAACUUCCAUUCGAGCAACUAAGGGCUGUAGUACUAGUAGCAGCGAGCAGCAGCAACGAUAGGAAGAUGUUUCAUCAAGGUCUGCAGCCUUGGUCGAAGUAGAUGCCUUUUCUUUAGACUAGGAGCAAUAAAUAUCACUAAGAGAACAGCAAGAACACGCCAUGAGAUGUAAAUAUGACAAAUUCAACGAAGAUUGGAAGUGAAAUAAAUUCAGCGCAUCACGGUUUGCUUC